rnacentral:rRNA from 1 species
AACAGAUAUCUCGGCUCUCGCAUCGAUGAAGAACGUAGCGAAAUGCGAUACUUGGUGUGAAUUGCAGAAUCCCGUGAACCAUCGAGUCUUUGAACGCAAGUUGCGCCCAAAGCCAUUAGGCCGAGGGCACGUCUGCCUGGGCGUCACACA